AUGGCUGCAGUGGAUGCCUAUGUAGUGUGCACUAGAGGGAGAAGUGUUGGCUUCUUCCUGCUUCAGACUGCAGGAGAAAGCAAUGGAGACUCAGUGACUCAAACAGAAGGUCAAGUGACACUCUCUGAAGGGACUUCUGUUACUGUGAACUGCUCCUAUGAAACCCAACAGUACCCAGCCCUGUUCUGGUACGUGCAGUAUCCUGGAGAAGGUCCACAGCUCCUCUUCAGAGUCUCCAAGGCCAAUGAGAAAGGAAGCAGCAGAGGUUUUGAAGCUACAUAUGAUAAAGAAUCCACUUCCUUCCACUUGCAGAAAGCCUCGGUCCAAGAGUCAGACUCGGCUGUGUACUACUGUGCUCUGAGUGACACAUUGGCACAAUCUGCAGGGGGAGCUGAGCACAAACUCUGA